UCUUCUCCUUUUCUGGCUGAGCGAGCAGUUUGCGGAACACAUUCCUGUCAAUCAUAAACCCAGAGAGGAAGACACUCAGAGAUGCUGAGGUGACGGGCUCGGACCAACACUGGCCAAGGGGAGCGUUUCUGUGAGGUGAAAGCUGAUCGGGAAAGGACAAAACAAGGCCAUCUGAGUGGAUGUGCACUGCGUGGAGUUGGCUCUGAGCAGGAAGCUGGCGGUUAAGCUCACUCUGGCCAGGCCUGGGGUCUGGCCUGCCUCUGGGCCCCACAUCCAGAGAUGUAGUGGGUCUGGGGUAGGCCUGGGAAUCUGCAUUUUUAACAAGCACCGCUUGGGACCUUGUGGCUUUGGCCCGUCCUAGCCUACCUGUGUCCAUGGGCUGCAGCCUGGCUGAAAGAGUUCAUAUCCCCCUGGGGGGUGGUGGAAAUUCCAUUCCUGUACAUGGUUCCUAUCAGGGGAUCCGCACCACGCUCCAACAGCAAACUAACGAGCUCAAAAUUUCCUGCAAGCCCAGAGAAGGGGGUUUUAUAAGCGAAUCAAGCAGAGAUACAGUCACAGACACACUGAGGGCCAAGGUGGCGCAGACCCUUGGCGGGGAUGAGACUUGGCGGCUCUUACCUACGGCGGCGGCCAGCUGCAGGGGGGUUUCCGAGUAGUUCUCCUCGCCGUGCUCCACGGAGCCCUCCACCUUGGCCCCGGCGUCCAGGAGCAGCUGCGGAGGAAGAGGGGCCACUGAGACAUUUGAGGACAUGCACGAAGCACUGAAGACCAAGUUUAAGAUCUAGAAUGUGCUGGAUAGCUCCUCCUUGAACACCAACUGUACAACAACCAAAGAGUUCAAGCAAUACAACUUAAAUGCCCAGAGGACCUUGGAUGAGGACAUCUCUCCAUACCUGGGGGUGGGGGGCUGUUUCAGAAGGCCCGUGCAAAGGCCCUACUCUAGACCUCUGAGAUCAGAUUCUCAUUAAGGAGUGUCCCAGUAAGUGUCCUUUAGAACCACUCCCUUGGUGACUUGGGCAUGCUUCUUUCCACUGGUUAGAAACCACUAUACUCUACAAAACACCAGGGUCACACCUAAGGGGAUGUUCUAAGGUCUUACACCAGUCAAAUCUUAUGUUCACAUUAUGACAAGCAAAAUGAGCAAAUCCACAACAUCACAGCUCAGGCCCCACCCCCGAGCAACCAGGAACAGCUUUGUCCGUGUGCCACUCGUGUGUGUGAGGCUGCGUGUGGGUCUGUGAUCAUUUCAUAUUGGUUAAAGCCAGGCCAUAUAGAUCA